rnacentral:rRNA from 1 species
UAAAGCGUGCGCAGGCGGUUUUGUAAGACUGUCGUGAAAUCCCCGGGCUCAACCUGGGAAUGGCGAUGGUGACUGCAAGGCUAGAGUUUGGCAGAGGGGGGUAGAAUUCCACGUGUAGCAGUGAAAUGCGUAGAUAUGUGGAGGAACACCGAUGGCGAAGGCAGCCCCCUGGGUCAAAACUGACGCUCAUGCACGAAAGCGUGGGGAGCAAACAGGAUUAGAUACCCGGU